rnacentral:lncRNA from 1 species
CCGGGAUUUCCGUGGAUAAUUAUAUUUCUCUUCUGUCGUGGAUGGCGUGGAUUGAACGCCAGUCCAAAAAGUUUGGGAUUGCGUGGAUUGCACGCUCGCCCAAAAACGUUGGGAUGGCUCUAGGCCAGGUGAAAUUUAAAUUCACUGAUAUUUAUAUUCACUGCACGGCGUUCGUUUUUUUUUUACUUUUUCACACACACGUGGUUGGUCGAAAA